UUAAGUUCAGCGGGUAUUCCUACCUGAUCUGAGGUCAACCUUAGAUGGUUCUUUAACGGCACAGACCGCCCUUUCUCGCCAGCGAAUUGAUUGCCACAACGCUGAGAUCUGGGUUGUCCAGCCGGCGAAAUUGAGGCGCGGGAGAACCCCAUCGCCCAAUACCAAGCCAGGCUUGAGUGGUGUAAUGACGCUCGAACAGG
rnacentral:misc_RNA from 1 species